CAGAAGCAGCGACUCAAUGGCUAUUCGUUGAAAAUUUUAGCCAAACUAUGAGAUAUUCCUGUGUUUUUGUUUGAAUGAAACUCGCAACACUUUCAGACUGUGUUAGUCUAAAAGACUUUUUUAAGUGUUAGUUAUAUAAAUGACUGACUUUAGGAAUUCUGCACGUUGUUGUCUGAGCUGUCAGAAACUGAUCCGGAAUCUUUCCAGACUGAUACUGACACAAAACAGAAGAGUUACGUUAGCUUGUUUUUUUUUUUUUUUAGUACACAUGCACACUUAGAUUUCCCAGUUAUUGACCUUCUAUCAUGAAAUGUAUUAUUUUAAUUCAGUUUCUUUCUUGCUUACACCUACCCCCCUAAAUCUGUCUUCUGUGUUUUGAUAACAGGCUGCAGGUUCAGUAAAUCCAGAUUUCUUUAGUUCUGCCUUUCACUGCCUUAAAUCAGUGCCGUUCAGGUCCAUUCAGCUGCAGAAGAACUAUGAGGCAGGAUGUGGAGCAGCAAGACUGAUUGAUAUGUUUGUGAAUGUAUUAAUGUAUUUUAUAAUUUUGCUUAUAUUUCUUCUUGGUAAAAGCUGAGUCACAAACUGUUGCUGCAGCUGGAGCUACAGAAACAGCAGAUAACCUGCUCAGCCUUCUUCUUGUCAUCACCUCUGACCCUCAGCAGUGGCCUUCACCUGGGCCUCUAAUCCUGCAGUCACCAGAGACCCCGCCUGAUCUGAACAGAAGGAUUCUCUGUGAUAACAGCAGAUGGAUGCAUCUAUAACUCUGUGACAUCAUCAGGAGAUCUGGAUCAAUGGACCUGCUUCUGCUUGUCAAAAGCUCCUAUGCCUCCUUGAAUUGGUCUCAUCUUCAUGUCAGAGCAGUCCUACAUUUUACAGAACAUAAUUUUACUGUGUGAGUGUUUGAAACAUUGCAAAUGAUCUGAAAAAGACUAAAUUGGACAAUUUUUUCAUUAAAAUCUUUCUGUUGUUACUGUUAUCAAAAUUACAUUUAAACAGAGCAUUGUGAUGGUAAAUUAAAAUAAAUCAAUAGCUACGGGAGUAAAUAUUUACUCCCAUCGUCAGAUACUCACAGGUGUCCCCCAUCCAUCCGCUCCACAUAUAAACAAGAGGGACUGAUUGCGCCACCUUGUGGUUGUUUACGGCAUGCUGUGACUUCUGACUCAUCUUGGUCUUUCAGCCUGUGAUCUGCCUACAGCAGCGCAUGCUUUGGGGGCGGCCGCGCCAGGUUGCCAGCACAACUUUUCUAGUUACAGAUUACUAUAUUACAGAUGCAUAAACACGAAAGCAGUAUUUUAAUGUUGUAGUUGGUUGACAUGGAGCUAAUAUUAACAGUUUUACCCUCUUGGUCAGUUUGAUUUAUAACAAGUGAACGUAUGUUAUAAAUUAAUAAUAUGUUUUGUAUAAAAUCUUAAUAAGAAGCUAAACUAUAGAUUUAAAGCAGAUGGCAGUGGUGUGAAGAGUGAAAUAUUUCCCUCUGAAAUGUAGCGGAGUAAAAGCAGAAACUGGCAAAAAAUGGAAAUAUUUGAAUAUUUAAAUUUUGUCAUUCUUUUAAAAAAUAAAUUUAAUAACAAACAA